rnacentral:rRNA from 1 species
GACGAACGCUAGCGACGUGCCUAAGAAAUGCAAGUCGAGCGGGGUUAGUGGAGCUUGCUCUGCUGACCUAGCGGCGAACGGUCGCGUAACACGUAAGCAACCUGCCCUGAAGUGGGGGAUAGUCCUCCGAAAGGGGGCUUAAUACCGCAUGUGGUCACUUGUUUGCAUAUUCGAGUGACUAAAGCAGUAAUGCGCUUCAGGAUGGGCUUGCGGCCUAUCAGCUAGUUGGUGUGGGUAACGGCUCACCAAGGCGACGACGGGUAGCUGGUCUGAGAGGAUGGUCAGCCGGACUGGGACUGAGACACGGCCCAGACUCCUACGGGAGGCAG